AACCUCCGCAAUGUACGAAAGUGCGACGGGGGGAUCCCAAGUGUUAUGCUUUUUUGUAUAACUUUUCAUUAGUGUAAAAAAGCUUUUAGAAUAAGAGCUGGGCAAGACCGGUGCCAGCCGCCGCGGUAACACCGGCAGCUCUAGUGGUAGCUGUUUUUAUUGGGCCUAAAGCGUUCGUAGCCGGUUUGAUAAGUCUUUGGUGAAAGCUUGUAGCUUAACUAUAAGAAUUGCUGGAGAUACUAUUAGACUUGAGAUCGGGAGAGGUUAGAGGUACUCCCAGGGUAGAGGUGAAAUUCUGUAAUCCUGGGAGGACCGCCUGUUGCGAAGGCGUCUAACUGGAACGGUUCUGACGGUGAGGGACGAAAGUUAGGGGCGCGAACCGGAUUAGAUACCCGGGUAGUCCUAACCGUAAACGAUGCGGACUUGGUGUUGGGAUGGCUUUGAGCUGCUCCGGUGCCGAAGGGAAGCUGUUAAGUCCGCCGCCUGGGAAGUACGGUCGCAAGACUGAAACUUAAAGGAAUU
rnacentral:rRNA from 1 species